UGGGGAAUCUUGCACAAUGGGGGAAACCCUGAUGCAGCGACGCCGCGUGAACGAUGAAGCCCUUCGGGGUGUAAAGUUCUUUCGACAGGAACGAUAAUGACGGUACCUGGAGAAGAAGCUGCGGCUAACUACGUGCCAGCAGCCGCGGUAAUACGUAGGCAGCGAGCGUUGUUCGGAGUUACUGGGCGUAAAGAGUGCGUAGGCGGCGAGCCAAGUUUGGUGUGAAAUCUCCCGGCUUAACCGGGAGGGUGCGCCGAAAACUGGUUGGCUGGAGUAUGGGAGAGGAAAGCGGAAUGCCUGGUGUAGCGGUGAAAUGCGUAGAUAUCAGGAGGAACACCUGCGGUGUAGACAGCUUUCUGGACCAAAACUGACGCUGAGGCACGAAAGCGUGGGUAGCAAACA
rnacentral:rRNA from 1 species